GUGGGGAAUAUUGGACAAUGGGCGAAAGCCUGAUCCAGCCAUGCCGCGUGAGUGACGAAGGUCUUCGGAUUGUAAAGCUCUUUUGGCGGGGACGAUAAUGACGGUACCCGCAGAAUAAGCCCCGGCUAACUUCGUGCCAGCAGCCGCGGUAAUACGAAGGGGGCUAGCGUUGUUCGGAAUUACUGGGCGUAAAGCGCACGUAGGCGGACUUAUAAGUCAGGGGUGAAAUCCCGGGGCUCAACCUCGGAACUGCCUUUGAUACUGUAAGUCUCGAGACCGGAAGAGGUGAGUGGAAUUCCUAGUGUAGAGGUGAAAUUCGUAGAUAUUAGGAAGAACACCAGUGGCGAAGGCGGCUCACUGGUCCGGUUCUGACGCUGAGGUGCGAAAGCGUGGGGAGCAAACAGGAUUAGAUACCCUUGUAGUCC
rnacentral:rRNA from 1 species